CUACGUAGGGGGCGAGCGUUGUCCGGAAUGACUGGGCGUAAAGGGCGUGUAGGCGGCGGUGUAAGUCUGGAGUGAAAGUCCCGCAUUCAAUGUGGGAAUUGCUUUGGAUACUGCAGUGCUAGAGUGCGGAAGAGGUAAGUGGAAUUCCCAGUGUAGCGGUGAAAUGCGUAGAGAUUGGGAGGAACACCAGUGGCGAAGGCGACUUACUGGGCCGUAACUGACGCUGAGGCGCGAAAGCGUGGGGAGCGAACAGGAUUAGAUACCCUGGUAGUCCACGCGGUAAACGAUGAAUGCUAGGUGUAGGGGGUAUCGACCCCUUCUGUGCCGGAGUUAACACAAUAAGUAAUCCACCUGGGGAGUGCGGCCGCAAGGUUGAAACUCAAAUGAAUUGACGGGG
rnacentral:rRNA from 1 species